rnacentral:rRNA from 1 species
CCUACGGGAGGCUGCAGUGAGGAAUAUUGGUCAAUGGGCGCGAGCCUGAACCAGCAAAGUAGCGUGAAGGAUGAAUGCCCUACGGGUUGUAAACUUCUUUUAUAAAGGAAUAAAGUGAGGCACGUGUGCCUUUUUGUAUGUACUUUAUGAAUAAGGAUCGGCUAACUCCGUGCCAGCAGCCGCGGUAAUACGGUGGAUACGUGCGUUAUCCGGAUUUAUUGGGUUGAAAGGGAGCGUAGGUGGGUUGUUAAGUCAGUUGUGAAAGUUUGCGGCUCAACCGUAAAAUUGCAAUGGAUACUGGCAGCUAUGAGUACAGUGGAGGUAGGCGGAAUUCGUGGUGUAGCGGUGAA